UGUGGGUAGUCCGCACGAGCGCACCCUAUCAUUAGUUGCCAUCAGUUCGGCUGGGCACUCCAGUGAGACUGCCGGUGUUAAACCGGAGGAAGGUGGGGAUGACGUCAAGUCCUCAUGGCCCUUAUACCCAGGGCUACUCACGUGCUACAAUGGUCGGUACAGAGGGUCGCCAACCCGCGAGGGGGAGCCAAUCCCUUAAAGCCGGCCUCAGUUCGGAUUGGAGUCUGCAAUUCGACUCCAUGAAGGUGGAAUCGCUAGUAAUCGCAGAUCAGCAUGCUGCGGUGAAUACGUUCCCGGGCCUUGUACACACCGCCCGUCACACCACGAAAGCGGGUUGGACCAGAAGCCGUUGACCCAACCUUCGGGAGGGAGACGUCCAAGGUUUGACCGGUGAUUGGGGUGAAGUCGUAACAAGGUAGCCGUAGGGGAACCUGUGGCUGGAUCACCUCCUUUCU
rnacentral:rRNA from 1 species